AUCCCAAAGAAAAAGUAGUAGCAAAUUAAGACCUAGAGAGUGAGGGUACCAUUCCAGUUCAAAACUUGAAUAUUCUGCCGUGGUGGCUCUCUUCCCGGCGGCUAUUCUCAGUUCUCCGGUUCAUUCGCCACCGGCCAACUCUUCCCCUCCAUCUCAUCUCUCGUCUCUACCCUUCUCUCCGGUCCCUCUCCCAAUUCAAUUUUCAUUACUUCAAAUAAUUUCAGUGAGGAGAGAAGCAUUAUUUUUGCAGUUGAUUACAUGGAAAAACCUCGACGGGAAAAGAGAAAAGAAGCUCGGUUGGAGAAGAAUUCCAAAAAACACCAAGUCCACCUCCAACGUCAGAAAGAUAAAAAAAUUCAGAAGAACUCUCAGGAUUUGAAAUCAAAAAGUGUGAAGAAGUCCAACAGUUUCCUACUACAUCCUUAUAAUGUGAAAAAGACACAUUUGUCAGAGUUGGAUGAUGACUUUAGGAGUCAGAAGCCAUCUAAAAUGGAGAAGGGUGUUGAGCAUGACUUGGAUUCUUCAAGUGUCGAUGAAUUAAGUGCGUCAACAGUGGUGGAAAGAAAAAUGGGUUCAAAGAGAACAGGGAAAACCAAUUUUGAGAGGUUUCUUGAGAUGGAAGCUGCAGUGCAUGCUGAGGAGGAUUUGGAAUUGGAAAGAAAACUUGCAAAGAAACUUAAGGUGAAGGGUGGAAAAUUAAGGGGAGCAGAUGAUGAAAUGAAUUUAUUAUUUGAAGGACUUCCAUCUGUCUUAGAUUCAGAUGGGGAAGAUGAAUUACCAUUUAAGAAAUCUAAGAAGAAGACCAAAAAUAAGAAAGGAAAAAUGGAAAUCAGUGAUCAGGAACUAGAAGUUGAAAUACCCUCUGAUGCAAUGGUUGAAUUAUCUGAGCCAGAAGAUAUGUAUGGCAUUGAGGCUCCAUCAGAAGUUCUUGACGAGGUGCCCUCAAGUAAGAAAAAUAAGAAAAGAAAGUUGUCAAACAAAGGAAAAGACAGUGACAUGGCAGGUAGCACAAACAUUGAUGUGUCGAUACCAAUGGAUUCAUCUAGAGUUGAUGUGCCUCUUGAAGAAGUUCCCAGCAAGGCACCUCAGAAAUAUGUUGCUCCGCACUUGAGAUCUCGUAAAGGAACUGAGCCAGAAGAGUAUUUUCAGAUUCGUAGACGAGUACGAGGACUUCUGAAUAGGUUGUCUGAAUCUAAUGUUGAAUCAAUUACUGGAGAAAUGUCUGGUAUAUUUCGCUCAAUUUCCCGCAGUGUAGCUUCUCAGAUAAUCAGUGAGGAGGUUUUAGCUUCUUGUUCUAGGGGUCCUCGUGGCAAUGAACAGUAUGCUGCAGUUUUUGCUGCUUUUGUCGCAGGCAUGGCCUGCUCAGUUGGAAUUGACUUUAGUGCAAAGCUUAUGGCUUCCCUUGCUAAAAUUUUUGAGGAUGAGUAUUAUAACCAAGAUAACCUUUCUCUGCGUAACAUUACUCUGUUGCUCUCUUAUUUAUGUGUAUUUGGAGUGUGCUCAAGUGAUCUUAUUUAUGACUUUAUGUCCAUGCUGAGCAAGCGUUUAGCAGAGAUUGAUGUCUCUACAAUUUUGACAGUUUUACAAUGCUGUGGGAUGAAAAUAAGGGCUGAUGAUCCUCUAUCCAUGAAAAACUUUAUUCUCAGUGUUCAGAGUAGAGUGACUGAGUUAAAGGUGUCCUCUCAAGAGGGCCAGGAAAAUAUAAACAGCAAAAGGAUGGAGUUCAUGCUUGAAACAAUAUGCGACAUAAAAAACAACAAGAAAAGGUCUAAAGAGGAUCCAGCACAUCACACGAGGAUUAAAAAAUGGCUACAGAAGUUAGGAGCAGAAGAAAAAAUUAUAAGAGGUCUCAAAUGGAGCAAGCUGCUUGAACCUGUUAAGAAGGGUCAAUGGUGGUUAUCUGGGGAUUUGGCUUCAGCCAGAGACGAUGUUGAGGAGGUUGCCAGCACAAUAGACAAAGAGGUUCUUGAAGCGCAAAAAAUGCUGCAGCUUGCUGCGGAACAAAGGAUGAACACAGAUGGUAGAAAGGCCAUCUUUUGUAUAAUAAUGAGUGGCGAGGACUACAUUGAUGCAUUUGAGAAGCUAUUAAGGUUGGACUUACCAGGAAAGCAGGACCGAGAGAUUAUGCGGGUUCUUGUGGAGUGUUGUUUACAAGAGAAAGUGUUCAACAAGUAUUAUGCUGUAUUGGCUACUAAAUUGUGUGAGCAUGACAAAAAUCACAAAUUCACCUUACAGUUUUGCCUCUGGGAUCACUUUAAACAGGUGGAGUCCAUGCCGCUUAUUAGAUCGAGGAACCUUGCUAAAUUUGUGGUAGAGAUGGUCACUUCUUUCUCUCUCUCCCUUGCCGUACUGAAAGCGGUAGAUUUGAACGAUAUUACACUGCUAACUCCUAAAAGGAUAAUGCACUUUAGGAUGCUAUUUGAGGCCAUGUUUGAGUUUCCUGAUAAACUCAUAUGGAACAUAUGCACGAGAGUGGCUGUUGCACCUGACCUCGAAAAUCUUCGACAAGGAAUUGAAUACUUUGUUAAGGAGUAUCUUGUGAAAUCCAACAGAGCCACUAGUGAAAAGUUCAAGGUUGUGAGAAAAGCGCUCAACAAUGUAGAAGGAAUUCUCAUGUGAAAUACGGUUUUGAAAUUACAAUGAGCUUAGUGGCUGUGAGUCUUAAUUAAAGAGAAGACAAGUUGAUUAGCAAGCAAAAAGCUUCACAAAUUCCAUUUUGAUCUUGCAAACUACUGUUGGAGGUGUUGUCCAUGACCUUAGAAGUAGCAUUCUUCUUUAGAGUUGCUCUGCCUUUUGGUUUCCCUUUCUCGAGAGGUUUCUCUGAAAUUGCACAAAGACAUCACAUUAGUAUAGAGUUGCUAGUUUUAAGAUUGAUAAGUCAUGCUUUAUUUUUUAUAUUGCAAGCAUAAAAAAUGUUUAUGUAAAUAGUUGUAGCCUAUUACUAAAGAAACGAAUAAUUAGCUAAGCACAUAA